rnacentral:rRNA from 1 species
AGGGAAUUUUCCGCAAUGGGCGAAAGCCUGACGGAGCAACGCCGCGUGAGUGAGGACGGCCUUCGGGUUGUAAAACUCUGUUCUUGAGGAAGAAUUCCUUCCAGGCGAACAGCCUGGAAGGUUGACGGUACUCAAGGAGAAAGCCCCGGCUAACUACGUGCCAGCAGCCGCGGUAAUACGUAGGGGGCGAGCGUUAUCCGGAAUUAUUGGGCGUAAAGCGCGCGCAGGCGGCCGGUUAAGUCAGGUGUGAAAGGCUGCGGCUCAACCGCAGAGCGGCACCUGAAACUGGUCGGCUUGAGUGCAGGAGAGGGGAGCGGAAUUCCCGGUGUAGCGGUGGAAUGCGUAGAGAUCGGGAGGAACACCAGUGGCGAAGGCGGCUCUCUGGCCUGUAACUGACGCUGAGGCGCGAAAGCGUGGGGAGCAAAC